rnacentral:rRNA from 1 species
CCUACGGGGGGCUGCAGUAAGGAAUAUUGGUCAAUGGACGAAAGUCUGAACCAGCCAUGCCGCGUGGAGGAUGAAGGUCCUCUGGAUUGUAAACUUCUUUUAUAUGGGACGAAAAAAGGCCUUUCUAGGUCGUCUGACGGUACCAUAUGAAUAAGCACCGGCUAACUCCGUGCCAGCAGCCGCGGUAAUACGGAGGGUGCAAGCGUUAUCCGGAUUCACGGGGGUUAAAGGGUGUGGAUAUGGCAGUGGAUAAAUCCCCGAGCUUAACUUGGGAACUGCCAUUGAUACUAUCAGUCUUGAAUACCGUGGAGGUCAGCGGAAUAUGUCAUGUAGCGGUGAAAUGCUUAGAUAUGACAUAGAACACCAAUUGCGAAGGCAGCUGGCUACCCGAAUAUUGACACUGAGGCACGAAAGCGUGGGGAUCAAACAGGAUUAGAUACCCUUGUAGUC